rnacentral:lncRNA from 1 species
CACAGAAGUGCUUCAUGCAAAACAAGAAGUGCACAAGCAGUCCUUCAUCAGACUUUCUCAUACAAAUAAUAGCACUGGGUUGCCAAAGUUGGGCCUAAGCUUAAUUUCAGCCUAUUAACAGAAACAAGCAAGCACUUCCCUUAAACUCAUUCCAUAUCUGAUAAAGACUGCAAAUCUGAAUGUUGUAUUUUUUCACUUGAAAUAACAAAGAGCAGGAUUCAGCAUAUCCAAGAAAAUUCACUCAGCUGUUGUUAAGUCAUAGUCCUGAAACAGCACAAAUUAGUUGAAAUCUUAUUGUGAACCCAAUAUAUACAGGAACAACACUUAGAAAUACAGAGUAACACUCACAGUAGCAUUUCUAAUGGCAGUCAGAAUAUCAAUUGUGUUAAGGCCACCUAGAGGGUCAACAGAUUCUAAGGUUCGUCCAAAGGUCUCAUGAAAGAUGUAACAGAUUCUGGCUCCACCACAUAGCUCAGAAGUCUCUAUGUAUUUUGCUGUUCCUUCAAUAGUGUUGCAAUAUUCUGUGGCAAAUUUGGUAAUAAGCUGCAAUAAAGUGGCACUUUUGUCCUCAACAGGUUCCCCAUAGCUGUUAAGUAGAGACUGGUACUGAGCAGCUAAAACAUUGAUUCUGGUUUUCAGCUCUGGCAAGCAGUCCCUGAUGUGAUGCAUUAGUAGCCUGUUCAGUGUUCUAGCAAGAUACUUAGUUCCAUUUCGAUUGGCUAGGGAGGGAUACUUCUUUUGAAGAAAACCAUAUUCAUCACGAAUAGAAUCCGCUACACUCUUCUUAUUGUUAAUAUCCAGCUGACUCCUGUUCACUACUCCAAUGAUGCCAAGUUUUACUGGAAUCACUCUUCCCAUGAGCACAUCCAUAGCAUCAGUGCCAGCAUCCAUGAGAUCCAGCUUUGUGAUAACAGCAAGGGUUCUUCGACCAUCUGGAUCCACUUCCCGUGCAAUUUUAAGUGCUUCUGAAGUGGCCAUGUCUGUGUUAGCUGCUGUGACUGCCAGAAUAAUUGAAUUUGGGUUGCUGAUGAAUUGAAGGAUUAGCUCUCUUAUUUGAAGUUCAAUAUCCUUGGGCUGAUCACCAACAGGCACCUUUGUCAUUCCCGGUAAAUCCACAAGAGUCAGAUUCACAACAUUAGAUGAAAAAAUCUUAAGAUGAAUUGGUUCAGGACUGAUACCCUUAUUAUUUCCUGAAAUCCUCUCUGUUUCAUUUUCUAUUUCCUGACGAAUUUCAUCAAAAUCUGUAUAGAUCUUAUUUUUGGUGUGAAGAAAUUUACCCCACUCUUCAGCAUCUAUCUCUUUAGAAAGGUGUCUUGGAUUUUUCCAUGUAGCAGGGUCUGCAGUUAAAGAGAAACAGCAGUGAAUGAUGUUUAAAAUUUUCCAUCAUAUUUAACACAACAUUUUAUUUACCUUCAUCACAAGUUUCUAUAACAGAGAUCACAAAUGCAUGCAGACAAAUGUGCAUGCUAGUCCACUACUGAUGAGAAUGUGUAACAUUAACAAUAUGCACAGCAGUAAGAUCUUAACUGAACACUGAUAAAUGAUGGGUAUUAAUCAGCUAUUCC